rnacentral:lncRNA from 1 species
AUGUGGUUUUUGAUAUUCUCACCAGUGGCCACAGUCCUCCAAGGAUUGAUGGGUGAAUGCUGUGAGGUGGUCCAGGAAACUCUGUGGAACAUUCUCCAAUGGGCUAGUAGGAUGAGAAGAUCCAGGAGUAGUUUGGGAAACAAGGAGAGGCAUCACCUCCCAUGACGGUAAACCUACCAAAAAGGAAAUUUCAUUAAUCUCUACAGCAGAGGGACCUUGUAGAAAGCAGCAGAUUGAAAGUGAACUGAAGGCUAGGAGCUUGAAGAAUUACCACAAAUGAAU